rnacentral:rRNA from 1 species
UACAGAGGGUGCGAGCGUUAAUCGGAAUUACUGGGCGUAAAGCGCGCGUAGGCGGCUUUGUAAGUUAGAGGUGAAAGCCCGGGGCUCAACUCCGGAAUUGCCUUUAAGACUGCAUCGCUAGAAUCGUGGAGAGGUAAGUGGAAUUCCGAGUGUAGAGGUGAAAUUCGUAGAUAUUCGGAAGAACACCAGUGGCGAAGGCGACUUACUGGACACGUAUUGACGCUGAGGUGCGAAAGCGUGGGGAGCAAACAGG